rnacentral:rRNA from 2 species
UUAAACUGGAGAGUUUGAUUCUGGCUCAGAACGAACGCUGGCGGCGUGCCUAACACAUGCAAGUCGAACGCGAAUUUCCCUUCGGGGAUUUGUAGCGUGGCGCACGGGUGAGUAACGCGUAGGUAAUCUACCUAUUACUGGGGAAUAACUCCGGGAAACCGGGGCUAAUACCGCAUAAGUUCCUUAUUUUUCGAUUUAAGGAAGAAAGGCAGCCUCUCCUUGGAAGCUGUCGGUGAUAGAUGAGCCUGCGUAGCAUUAGCUUGUUGGUGGGGUAAUGGCCUACCAAGGCGACGAUGCUUAGCUGGUCUGAGAGGAUGAUCAGCCACACUGGAACUGAAACACGGUCCAGACUCCUACGGGAGGCAGCAGUGGGGAAUAUUGCGCAAUGGGCGAAAGCCUGACGCAGCAACGCCGUGUGAGUGAUGAAGGUUUUCGGAUCGUAAAGCUCUGUCAGGAGGGAAGAAACCGUAGAGAGUUAAUAGCUCUUUACCUUGACGGUACCUCCAAAGGAAGCACCGGCUAACUCCGUGCCAGCAGCCGCGGUAAUACGGAGGGUGCUAGCGUUGUUCGGAAUUACUGGGCGUAAAGCGCAUGUAGGCGGAUAGAGAAGUCGGGUGUGAAAGCCCUGGGCUCAACCUAGGAAGUGCGCCCGAAACCAUCUAUCUAGAGUAUCGGAGAGGAUUGGGGAAUUCCCGGUGUAGAGGUGAAAUUCGUAGAUAUCGGGAGGAACACCAGUUGCGAAAGCGCCAAUCUGGAAGAUAACUGACGCUCAGAUGCGAAAGCGUGGGUAGCAAACAGGAUUAGAUACCCUGGUAGUCCACGCCGUAAACGAUGUGCACUAGGUGUUGAGAGUAUCGACCCUCUCAGUGCCGACGGUAACCCAUUAAGUGCACCGCCUGGGAAGUACGGCCGCAAGGUUGAAACUCAAAGGAAUUGACGGGGGCCCGCACAAGCGGUGGAGUAUGUGGUUUAAUUCGACGCAACGCGAAAAACCUUACCUGGACUUGACAUCUGGAAAAGGCUGUAGAGAUACGGCUGUGCCCUUCGGGGAAUUCCAAGACAGGUGCUGCAUGGCUGUCGUCAGCUCGUGUCGUGAGAUGUUGGGUUAAGUCCCGCAACGAGCGCAACCCCUGUCCUUAGUUGCUAACAGUUCGGCUGAGCACUCUAGGGAGACCGCCGGUGUUAAACCGGAGGAAGGUGGGGAUGACGUCAAGUCCUCAUGGCCUUUAUGUCCAGGGCUACACACGUACUACAAUGGCCAGUACAAAGGGUCGCCAAGCCGCAAGGUGGAGCUAAUCCCAAAAAGCUGGUCCAAGUUCGGAUUGGAGUCUGCAACUCGACUCCAUGAAGUUGGAAUCGCUAGUAAUCGCUGAUCAGCAUGCAGCGGUGAAUACGUUCCCGGGCCUUGUACACACCGCCCGUCACACCACGAAAGGUGUCUAUACCAGAAGUGCGUGGUCUAACCACGUGAGGAAGCGUACCAAGGUAUGGGCGCUGAUUGGGGUGAAGUCGUAACAAGGUAGCCGUAGGGGAACCUGCGGCUGGAUCACCUCCUUUCU